rnacentral:sRNA from 1 species
GAUGUCAGCACUGCUUCCGGUCGGUGGCGCUUCUCUCUGGCCCGAGCCAGCAUGAUCCGCUGGGCCCCCAGCGCAUCUCCUGGAAGAGCCCACUCACCCUGGACGAGCUCUUCGGUAGCCUCAGACCGUCCUUGAAGAGGAUGACUGAGACAUUAUGGGCCACGCGCUGUGUGUCUGCUCUCGGGGAACUGUCAUCAUUGACAAUAAGCGCUACCUCUUCAUCCAGAAACUGGGGGAGGGGUGAGUGUUUGGAAGUCAGUUAACUAGUCCUCAAGUUUAUGGUCAUUGAAGGACAGCGGUGUGCACAUGCUUGGGGCACAAGGGUUUUAUCCCCAUCCCUGUCCUCUCUCACCUGACAGAACCUAGCUACACAGUAUCAAGAAGGUGGAUUCUGGAGCCAGGCCUCCUAAAUCCACCUCGUGUGACCUUGAUAAACCAUGUUUUUUUCAUCAGCUUAAUGGAGAUGAUUAUUAUCCCUCACUGAUGGAGUUGUGAGGAUUAAAUGAGAUAAUGUGUAUAAAAUGUCUCACCCAAUGCCUGGUUGACAAGUACUUGAUAAGUGUUGGCUAUUAUUUAUUU